AGUUGCUCUUAUUACUUCUACACCAACAGGAAGAUCCAGUGGUUGGCUAUACACAAGUCUGGAGCUCAGAAUGAGUUUACUAGCAGUCUGAAGAUUAGCAAUUGAUGAAGAUCGUGGAAUGGGACUCACGCCAGGUGAUAAAUCUGGAGAAGAAUCUGCAGUCUUCUGUUCAGUGGGAAGAUGACUGCAAUGAAUUAUGAAAUCUGCUAAAACAGGGAAGGAACCUCAGAUACUCCUCCUCUUGUAUCUCAAUAGCUGUUGUUCCUGACAGCAAGAGAGUUCUUUGCAGUACCUCCACCCCUCUACAAGGGAGGCUGCUGGGACUGAAAUCAUUUCCUGCGGACAAAGAAAAUGUGUCCCCCAAAGACACUGAUGGCAAAUUUUCACAUUCCUGAAUAUCUUCUUUUUCCAGAGAACUAUGGAAUGCCAUCUUCCUACAAACAGCUACAGCUGGGAUGACUGGAUGCUGUAAGGUUUAAGAUGCAAAGCUCACAAUGGACAGAGCGCAGUUUCAUUCAAAUGGAACAAUAUCUAACCCUUCUUACCAUCAAUUCAUGCUUCAUUACUG
rnacentral:lncRNA from 1 species